UGGGGAAUUUUGCACAAUGGGGGAAACCCUGAUGCAGCGACGCCGCGUGAUUUAGAAGGCCUUCAGGUUGUAAAAAUCUUUUCUAUGGGAAGAAAAUGACAGUACCAUAGGAAUAAGGACCGGCUAAUUACGUGCCAGCAGCCGCGGUAAUACGUAAGGUCCGAGCGUUGUCCGGAAUCAUUGGGCGUAAAGGGUACGUAGGCGGGUAAGCAAGUUAGAAGUGAAAUCCUAUAGCUCAACUAUAGUAAGCUUUUAAAACUGCUCAUCUUGAGGUAUGGAAGGGAAAGUGGAAUUCCUAGUGUAGCGGUGAAAUGCGCAGAUAUUAGGAGGAAUACCGGUGGCGAAGGCGACUUUCUGGCCAUAACCUGACGCUGAGGUACGAAAGCGUGGGUAGCAAACAGG
rnacentral:rRNA from 1 species